UUUCACAGUUCUAAAUACGCAGCGGAACAAUAAAGAUAGAACAUUAACUUAAAUAAAAUCUAAUCUAAGAUAACUUGUGUCAUAAUUUUUGUAUUCGCUCUCCCAUAUUGUAAAACCCCCGGAUCGAGCUAAUUCUUCGGAUAUUGAAUGCGAUCCACAACAAAUCCAAUUAAUUUCACAAAUUCCUCGCAGAACCUCAGCCCCGGCGAAGAUCCGGCGGCUUCUUUCCGGCGGCAAACGGAGGAGGAAAAGGAUCGUCCGCGCUGUGGCUUCUCGGCUCCCUCUUCCUCUCUUUCUCUCCGGCAACGCGAAGAAGACCCUCCCUCUUUUCCUCUCUCUCGGCCGGCAGCGGCUCCUCUUCCCCUCUCUUCAAAGAGAGGAGAAGCCCUAAAAAAAGAAUGGGGGAGCCGGCUUCUUCGGGAUGGCUCCCCCCCUUCUCACACGCCCUCACGUGCGACGCACGUGAGGCCAAAAAUUUGGGCUGGGCCGGUCAAUGGGCCGGGCCCAGUUUCGGGAUCUCACAU
rnacentral:lncRNA from 1 species